CUCGGUAGAGAUUGGCGGGAGGGACUUCCUGAAAGACAACAGCAGUUCUGGUGAUGGCAGGAUUACGCAAAGAAGAAGGAAGCCUAUGCAAACAGUAAGCAGCAACCGAUGUGGAUUCUAGCAAUAAGGUAAAGGUAAACGACCCCUGGAUGGUUAAAUCCAGUCAAAGGUAACUAUAAGGUGUGGCGUUCAUCUCGCUUUCAGGCUGAGGGAGCCUAUGCAAACAGUAAGCAGCAACCGAUGUGGAUUCUAGCAAUAAGGUAAAGGUAAACGACCCCUGGAUGGUUAAAUCCAGUCAAAGGUAACCAUAAGGUGUGGCGUUCAUCUCGCUUUCAGGCUGAGGGAGCUGGCGAUUGUCCACAGACAGCUUUCCUGGUCAUGUGGCCAAGAUGACUAAACCACUUCGGGUGCAACAGGACAUCGUUACGGAAGCCUGAGCGCAUGCAGACGGCGUUUACCUCCC